rnacentral:tRNA from 1 species
GGGUAACUGACGGGAAUUGGCAUACCUCUCUGAUUUAGAUUCAGAGGCCUCCCGGUUCGAGUCCGGGGUUACCCA